rfam:Triticum aestivum genome assembly, contig: Triticum_aestivum_CS42_TGACv1_scaffold_526850_6DL
CGUGUACUCCCUCCGUUCCAUAUUAGUUGUCGCUCAAACAGAUGUAUCUAGUGUAUCUAGCACUGAAAUACGUCUGGAUACAUCCAUUUCUGAGACAACCAAUAUGGAACGGAGGGAGUAGUAU